UUUCAGUAAAGUUGGGCAGCGAGCCUUAACGAAGCGAGGGCUGUUAUCACCUCUCCUUAGCCCUUUAAGUGCAGCAGGCUCUUUGGUGUCUCUCGCUGAAUGCCGCUUUGUUAAUUGCGACGGUAAACAGGACACAGCGCUGACCAUCGCACUUACCACAGAACCGCUGGGUUUGGGAAAGGAGCCUGGGUCCAGCGGGAGUCACACAUGAAGGAGGAACUUCUGCAAGAAAGGAAUUGGAGUCCUGGCAGAGUGACCAGAAGUGUAACAUUCAGGAAAGGAAAAGCUUGGAGGAAGCCAGAUGACGCAUGCUGUGAUUGCCCAUGAGACUGGAGAAUGAGAAACCUGGAUUGGCUGGACAGGAUGGUGUCAAUUAAGCAUGUGGGAAGAUAUUUCCGGACACUGUCACAGCAUCUGAGGAACCAUAUUCCAGCUGUUCUCAGACUUUCCCAUUUCUGGAAGCCUGCCCCUCCUUCAGCUCCAACCACAAAUGUCCACACAAUAGAAAUCCAGUCAUUCUCCAAGAGGGGUUUGUUCUUCCCAUUGUUCCCUGAAUCCCUUGCAAUGCAUCUUUCUGAUUGAACGCUGUCAGCAGAGGGAGCAUCAACAGCACAGGAGACUUCCACCAGGGCUACUGGGUCUGCAUGGAGGAAUGGUAACUUGAGGAAUCUUAAAGACAGAAGGUUUGGCCGUCAUCAUGUACAUCAACGGAAGUUCCAUGACUGGAAAUGUUGACUUAUAUGUAAAAGAUACUGAGCUCUUUAUAUUGAAAUGCAAAGAAAAAGUGCCUGCCUACAUCCAUGUCAGAGUUGCCUAAAAAAAAAAAACCAAAUGGGACAACGUGGGAAAAAUAAGAUUGUGCUUGAGAUCAUUCUCCAAAUUUUUUUUUUUUUUUUUUUUUAGAGAUUUACUUUUUUGUUUCUUUCC
rnacentral:lncRNA from 1 species